GACGAACGCUGGCGGCGUGCUUAACACAUGCAAGUCGAACGCUGAAGCUUGGUGCUUGCACUGGGUGGAUGAGUGGCGAACGGGUGAGUAAUACGUGAGUAACCUGCCCUUGACUCUGGGAUAAGCCUGGGAAACUGGGUCUAAUACUGGAUACGACAUGUCACCGCAUAGUGGUGUGUGGAAAGGGUUUUACUGGUUUUGGAUGGGCUCACGGCCUAUCAGCUUGUUGGUGGGGUAAUGGCUCACCAAGGCGACGACGGGUAGCCGGCCUGAGAGGGUGACCGGCCACACUGGGACUGAGACACGGCCCAGACUCCUACGGGAGGCAGCAGUGGGGAAUAUUGCACAAUGGGCGGAAGCCUGAUGCAGCGACGCCGCGUGAGGGAUGACGGCCUUCGGGUUGUAAACCUCUUUCAGCACGGAAGAAGCGAAAGUGACGGUACGUGCAGAAGAAGCGCCGGCUAACUACGUG
rnacentral:rRNA from 1 species